GACUCCUACGGGAGGCAGCAGUGGGGAAUAUUGCACAAUGGGCGCAAGCCUGAUGCAGCCAUGCCGCGUGUAUGAAGAAGGCCUUCGGGUUGUAAAGUACUUUCAGCGGGGAGGAAGGUGAUGAGGUUAAUAACCUCAGCAAUUGACGUUACCCGCAGAAGAAGCACCGGCUAACUCCGUGCCAGCAGCCGCGGUAAUACGGAGGGUGCAAGCGUUAAUCGGAAUUACUGGGCGUAAAGCGCACGCAGGCGGUCUGUCAAGUCGGAUGUGAAAUCCCCGGGCUCAACCUGGGAACUGCAUUCGAAACUGGCAGGCUAGAGUCUUGUAGAGGGGGGUAGAAUUCCAGGUGUAGCGGUGAAAUGCGUAGAGAUCUGGAGGAAUACCGGUGGCGAAGGCGGCCCCCUGGACAAAGACUGACGCUCCAGUGCGAA
rnacentral:rRNA from 1 species